UCACUCUCUCUCUCUCUCUCUCUCCGUUUCCCGAUCCUCUCUCCCCCUCCCGAUCUCUGCUCCAUCUCUCUCAUUCUCCUCCCUCUCUCUCCAACGCAACCCUGCCGUCUCUUCUAUCUCUCUCCAUUGCAGCAGCCCGGAAGCUCUUACCCGAAGAAGCACACGCCGUGAAGUUCCUCUCCAUAGGAUCCUAUAAGAAGUGCAGUAAUAGAUUCUUGCAUACGUGUCACAGACAAUGGGAGAGAGAGCAUUAACAGGAAGUUCUUUUUUCAGCUUACCUUGUGCCAAUUUAUGGUUCCUAUUUAUAACUAUUCGCUGGCAACUUACAGGUAUUCUUCAUUUUUACACUAUAUAAUGCUUCUAAUCAUGAUGACCGACUUAAGGUGUGGAGAUUUCUUAUGAAAGUAAAGCCGACAUUUUUCUUAAUUGCUAUAUAGAUGAAUGCUUUAAGCGAUAGCAAUCAUGAGUGUGCAAGUAUAGUUCCAGUGGGAUCUUGCAAUCAAGAUCUAGAGAAGUAAGCAAGUGUUAUGCAGCUUGGUAUGCUCACGUUCCUGGGUUGAAAGUUCUGACUCCAUACUCAUCAGAAGACGCUCGGGGCCUUUUAAAAGCUGCUAUUAGAGAUCCUGAUCCUGUAGUUUUUCUUGAAAACAAGUUGCUAUAUGGAGAGUCUUUCCCUGUUUCAGCGGAAGUUCUUGAUUCCAGUUUCUGCCUUCCAAUAGGAAAAGCUAAGGGACUGGAUUUCAAUCCAAGGGUGUUUGGCCACUUCAGCAUGAGAAUCAAGAUGGUCUCAGAAGAUUCAGCUGGAACAGUAACUGCAUUAACAUGGUGAUUACGCUAUAGUACCUGGCACCAGAAAUCGUCCUUGGAUCCUGACAUUACUCUACUCCUAUUGAUGUGUGAACAUAAAAGCAGGUGGAAGAGGAAGAAAAGUCAUAAACAUCAUCGCCAUCUUAGCCUUUUCUCCUAGCGAUUUCAGGGUGCCUUUUGAAUUGUAGAUUGGCAAGAGUUCUACAAACGGCUCUACCCACCAAACAUUACUCUCCAUCACUAAUAGAUCAUCACAUGUCAUCUGCAAAUUUAAUGUUUUUCUUCAAGUUCCUCAUCUCAUGCCCUCCAUUAACAGAUAGAACGAGAAGGAAAAGAUGCGACCAUUACAGCUUUCUCAACAAUGGUGGGUUAUGCCCUCUAGGUGCGUGUGCUCUUUCUUUUAAGCUGUGGUGCCAAUGACCAAUAUGUGAUUAAUAGGUUUAUUCACAAGCUAAAGAUGUUGAACUAUUUAGAAAUGUGAAUGUAGGAUGCAUUGUAUGAUUUGAUUGCUCCAAAAAGAGUGCAAUACAAGCAGGUAUCAUUUUCUUUCCUGAUUGCAUUUUAUGUACUAUUCCUAGCAGCAUUAAUUGUAUUAGUUUAGAUGAGUUGAUCAAUCACAGCAAGUUCUUGCAAUGGUAACAGACAUCAUUGUUAUAAUUUUUUUU